rnacentral:tRNA from 1 species
UUACUUGUAGUUUAGUGGUAAAAUACCCGCUCUAAUGGGAGACGUAGGUUCGAUUCCUACCGAGUAAAC